GGGUUGUGAGGUUAAGCGACUAAGCGUACACGGUGGAUGCCCUGGCAGUCAGAGGCGAUGAAGGACGUGCUAAUCUGCGAAAAGCGUCGGUAAGGUGAUAUGAACCGUUACAGCCGGCGAUGUCCGAAUGGGGAAACCCAGUGCAAUUCGUUGCACUAUCGUUAACUGAAUACAUAGGUUAACGAGGCGAACCGGGGGAACUGAAACAUCUAAGUACCCCGAGGAAAAGAAAUCNAACCGAGAUUCCCCCAGUAGCGGCGAGCGAACGGGGAGCAGCCCAGAGUCUGAAUCAGCUUGUGUGUUAGUGGAACGGUCUGGAAAGUCCGACGGUACAGGGUGAUAGUCCCGUACACCAAAAUGCACAGGCUGUGAACUCGAAGAGUAGGGCGGGACACGUGGUAUCCUGUCUGAAUAUGGGGGGACCAUCCUCCAAGGCUAAAUACUCCUGACUGACCGAUAGUGAACCAGUACCGUGAGGGAAAGGCGAAAANGAACCCCGGCGAGGGGNAGUGAAAAAGAACCUGAAACCGUGUACGUACAAGCAGUGGGAGCACCUUCGGGUGUGACUGCGUACCUUUUGUAUAAUGGGUCAGCGACUUAUAUUCUGUAGCAAGGUUAACCGUAUAGGGGNAGCCGCAGGGAAACCGAGUCUUAACUGGGCGUUAAGUUGCAGGGUAUAGACCCGAAACCCGGUGAUCUAGCCAUGGGCAGGUUGAAGGUUGGGUAACACUAACUGGAGGACCGAACCGACUAAUGUUGAAAAAUUAGCGGAUGACUUGUGGCUGGGGGUGAAAGGCCAAUCAAACCGGGAGAUAGCUGGUUCUCCCCGAAAGCUAUUUAGGUAGCGCCNUCGUGAACNUCAUCUUNCGGGGGUAGAGNCACUGUUUCGGCUAGGGGGUCAUCCCGACUUACCAACCCGAUGCAAACUACGAAUACCGAAGAAUGUUAUCACGGGAGACACACGGCGGGUGCUAACGUCCGUCGUGAAGAGGGAAACAACCCAGACCGCCAGCUAAGGUCCCAAAGUCAUGGUUAAGUGGGAAACGAUNGUGGGAAGGCACAGACAGCCAGGAUGUUGGCUUAGAAGCAGCCAUCAUUUAAAGAAAGCGUAAUAGCUCACUGGUCGAGUCGGCCUGCGCGGAAGAUGUAACGGGGCUAAACCAUGCACCGAAGCUGCGGCAGCGACACUAUGUGUUGUUGGGUAGGGGAGCGUUCUGUAAGCCUGCGAAGGUGUGCUGUGNAGGCAUGCUGGAGGUAUCAGAAGUGCGAAUGCUGACAUAAGUAACGAUAAAGCGGGUGAAAAGCCCGCUCGCCGGAAGACCAAGGGUUCCUGUCCAACGUUAAUCGGGGCAGGGUGAGUCGACCCCUAAGGCGAGGCCGAAAGGCGUAGUCGAUGGGAAACAGGUUAAUAUUCCUGUACUUGGUGUUACUGCGAAGGGGGGACGGAGAAGGCUAUGUUAGCCGGGCGACGGUUGUCCCGGUUUAAGCAUGUAGGCUGGUUAUCCAGGCAAAUCCGGAUAAUCAAGGCUGAGGUGUGAUGACGAGGCACUACGGUGCUGAAGUAACAAAUGCCCUGCUUCCAGGAAAAGCCUCUAAGCAUCAGGUAACAUCAAAUCGUACCCCAAACCGACACAGGUGGUCAGGUAGAGAAUACCAAGGCGCUUGAGAGAANCUCGGGUGAAGGAACUAGGCAAAAUGGUGCCGUAACUUCGGGAGAAGGCACGCUGGUGUGUAGGUGAAGUCCCUGCGGAUGGAGCUGAGACCAGUCGAAGAUACCAGCUGGCUGCAACUGUUUAUUAAAAACACAGCACUGUGCAAACACGAAAGUGGACGUAUACGGUGUGACGCCUGCCCGGUGCCGGAAGGUUAAUUGAUGGGGUUAUCCGUAAGGAGAAGCUCUUGAUCGAAGCCCCGGUAAACGGCGGCCGUAACUAUAACGGUCCUAAGGUAGCGAAAUUCCUUGUCGGGUAAGUUCCGACCUGCACGAAUGGCGUAAUGAUGGCCAGGCUGUCUCCACCCGNAGACUCAGUGAAAUUGAACUCGCUGUGAAGAUGCAGUGUACCCGCGGCAAGACGGAAAGACCCCGUGAACCUUUACUAUAGCUUGACACUGAACAUUGAGCCUUGAUGUGUAGGAUAGGUGGGAGGCUUUGAAGCGUGGACGCCAGUCUGCGUGGAGCCAACCUUGAAAUACCACCCUUUAAUGUUUGAUGUUCUAACGUUGGCCCCUGACCGGGGUUGCGGACAGUGUCUGGUGGGUAGUUUGACUGGGGCGGUCUCCNUCCCAAAGCGUAACGGAGGAGCACGAAGGUUAGCUAAUCCUGGUCGGACAUCAGGAGGUUAGUGCAAUGGCAUAAGCUAGCUUGACUGCGAGCGUGACGGCGCGAGCAGGUGCGAAAGCAGGUCAUAGUGAUCCGGUGGUUCUGAAUGGAAGGGCCAUCGCUCAACGGAUAAAAGGUACUCCGGGGAUAACAGGCUGAUACCGCCCAAGAGUUCAUAUCGACGGCGGUGUUUGG
rnacentral:rRNA from 1 species